GGAUGUGAGGGCGAUCUGGCUGCGACAUCUGUCACCCCAUUGAUCGCCAGGGUUGAUUCGGCUGAUCUGGCUGGCUAGGCAGGUGUCCCCUUCCUCCCUCAACGAUCCAUGUGCGUCCCUCCCAAAGCUGCGCGCUCGGUCGAAGAGGACGACCACCCCCGAUAGAGGAGGACCGUUCCUCGGUCAACGUUAUAUGAGUAGCUGCGCUCCCCUGCUAGAACCUCCAAAUAAGCUCUCAAGGUCCAUAAAUGAGGCCCUCUGCUUGGGCGUCUCCUGUUUGGGUAAGAAAGCGCCCUGAAGAACACAGGGAAGGUUU
rnacentral:snRNA from 1 species